UGGGGAAUAUUGCACAAUGGGCGCAAGCCUGAUGCAGCAACGCCGCGUGAAGGAUGAAGGCCUUCGGGUUGUAAACUUCUGUCCUAGGGGAAGAAACAAAUGACAUUACCCUUGGAGGAAGCCCCGGCUAACUACGUGCCAGCAGCCGCGGUAAUACGUAGGGGGCGAGCGUUAUCCGGAAUUAUUGGGCGUAAAGAGUGCGUAGGUGGCACCUUAAGCGCAGGGUUUAAGGCAAUGGCUCAACCAUUGUUCGCCUUGCGAACUGGGGUGCCUGAGUGCAGGAGGGGAAAGUGGAAUUCCUAGUGUAGCGGUGAAAUGCGUAGAUAUUAGGAGGAACACCAGUGGCGAAGGCGACUUUCUGGACUGUUACUGACACUGAGGCACGAAAGCGUGGGGAGCAAACAGGAUUAGAUACCCUGGUAGUCCACGCCGUAAACGAUGAGCACUAGGUGUCGGGGUCGCAAGACUUCGGUGCCGCAGUUAACGCAUUAAGUGCUCCGCCUGGGGAGUACGCACGCAAGUGUA
rnacentral:rRNA from 1 species